rnacentral:tRNA from 1 species
GAGAUUAACCAAUGAACUGCUAAAUCACACCGCCGAGCUCAAAACCUCGGGAUUCUC